GUGGGGAAUAUUGGACAAUGGGCGAAAGCCUGAUCCAGCCAUGCCGCGUGUGUGAAGAAGGUCUUCGGAUUGUAAAGCACUUUAAGUUGGGAGGAAGGGCAGUAAGUUAAUACCUUGCUGUUUUGACGUUACCGACAGAAUAAGCACCGGCUAACUUCGUGCCAGCAGCCGCGGUAAUACGAAGGGUGCAAGCGUUAAUCGGAAUUACUGGGCGUAAAGCGCGCGUAGGUGGUUUUGUAAGUUGGAGGUGAAAUCCCCAGGCUCAACCUGGGAACUGCCUCCAAAACUGCAUGACUAGAGUACGGUAGAGGGUAGUGGAAUUUCCUGUGUAGCGGUGAAAUGCGUAGAUAUAGGAAGGAACACCAGUGGCGAAGGCGACUACCUGGACUGAUACUGACACUGAGGUGCGAAAGCGUGGGGAGCAAACAGGAUUAGAUACCCCUGUAGUCC
rnacentral:rRNA from 1 species